AUGGGAGGGUGGACUGUGUGAGGGGACUUUGAAGAGUUAGAAGAGUCCACAGUGACAAUAACUGAUGAUCAGCAGGGUGGUCUGUCAGGGAGGACUGGCCUCUGUACAAGCAGCUUCAGGGAAAUUAUAGUAUUUGGGAAAGCAAAUAUGUUAGAAGAAGGUGCAAGUGCUUAAAAACAACCAAUGAUGUCUUUCACCAAAACGAUUUUCACCUGGUACAAAUUUUGUAUGAAACACAAAAUUGCAGAAAAAAAGAAAUCAUCAUUUCUCUGAAGAAUGGUCAUAUUGUGUGUCUCAACCCGAAUGCUGAAUGGGUUAAAGUGGAGAUAUUAAAUGAAAAGGUGAAAUAAGUGAAGACCAGAGCUUUGGAUACUACCUGUUCUAAGCAAGAAACAUUUAAUAUAAGACUGCACUUUGUCAUUACUUAAAAAAAUAUGUACCUUCAUUUAAAAUACAAAUAAACAUUUACCAUGUAGAUACAAGUGAAAGCUGCAAAAAAAAAGAUGUCAACAUAUCCUUGAUCACCCAAUAAAAACAGAGGACUUUUCACAUGGGGAUAACCGUAUUUUAUCCUAGCACAAAAACAAGAAUACACAUGACCCUAACAAAAAUAAGA